GACGAACGCUGGCGGCGCGCUUAACACAUGCAAGUCGAACGGAAAGGCCUGCUUUCCCUUGUGGAUUGCGGGUACUCGAGUGGCGAACGGGUGAGUAACACGUGAGUUAUCUGCCCCCAACUUGGGUAUAAGCCUGGGAAACUGGGUCUAAUUCCCGAUAGGACUGCAGGGUGGUGCCUGUGGUGGAAAACGAUUUUCUAGUGGUUGGGGAUGAGCUCGCGGCCUAUCAGCUUGUUGGUGGGGUAAUGGCCUACCAAGGCGGCGACGGGUAGCCGGCCUGGGAGGGUGGACGGGCACAGUGGGACUGAGAUACGGCCCAGACUCCUACGGGAGGCAGCAGUGGGGAAUAUUGCACGAUGGGCGGAAGCCUGAUGCAGCGACGCCGCGUGGGGGAUGACGGCCUUCGGGUUGUAAACUCCUUUCGACCGCGAGGAAGCCACCUGGUUGGAAGGGUGGUGACGGUAGUGGUAGAAGAAGCACCGGCUAACUACGUG
rnacentral:rRNA from 1 species